rnacentral:rRNA from 1 species
CUACGGGUGGCACCAGUGGGGAAUAUUGCACAAUGGAGGAAACUCUGAUGCAGCAACGCCGCGUGGAGGAUGACACUUUUCGGAGCGUAAACUCCUUUUAUAUAGGAAGAAGAUGACGGUACUAUAUGAAUAAGCGCCGGCUAACUCCGGCCAGCAGCCGCGGUAAUACGGAGUGCGCAAGCGUUACUCGGAAUCACUGGGCGUAAAGAGCGUGUAGGCGGAUUAAAAAGUCAGAAGUGGAAUCCUAUAGCUUAACUAUAGAACUGCUUCUGAAACUCUUAAUCUAGAAUAUGGGAGAGGUAGAUGGAAUUUCUGGUGUAGGGGUAAAAUCCGUAGAGAUCAGAAGGAAUACCGAUGGCGAAGGCGAUCUACUAGAACAUUAUUGACGCUGAGACGCGAAAGCGUGGGGAGCAAACAGGAUUAGAUACCCGCGUAGUC